rnacentral:rRNA from 1 species
CAGCAGCCGCGGGAAUACGUAGGUGGCGAGCGUCGUCCGGAAUCAUUGGGCGUAAAGGGAGCGCAGGCGGGCAUGUAAGUCUUUCUUAAAAGUUCGGGGCUCAACCCCGUGAUGGGAAAGAAACUACAUGUCUUGAGUACAGGAGAGGAAAGCGGAAUUCCCAGUGUAGCGGUGAAAUGCGUAGAUAUUGGGAGGAACACCAGUGGCGAAGGCGGCUUUCUGGACUGCAACUGACGCUGAGGCUCGAAAGCCAGGGGAGCGAACGGGAUUAGAUACCCCUGUAGUCCCUGUCUCUUAUACC